rnacentral:rRNA from 1 species
UGCUGAAUCAUUCGCUAAUGCGCGAAAGCGUGACGGUGCGACGCCGCGUGCAGGAAGAAGGCCUUCGGGUUGUAAACUGCUGUCAGUAUCUAGGAAACUGUAUGCUUUAACAGAGCAUAACUUGACCAGAUACAGAGGAAGCACAGGCUAAUCUCGUGCCAGCAGCCGCGGUAAUACGAGAUGUGCGAGCGUUGUUCGGAAUUACUGGGCAUAAAGGGUUCGUAGGUGGCUUUAUAAGUUGGUGGUGAAAUCCCUCGGCUCAACCGGGGAAUUGCUUCCAAUACUGUGAAGCUUGAGUGCAAAAGGGGUAAGUGGAAUUCCAGGUGUAGCGGUGGAAUGCGUAGAUAUCUGGGAGAACGCCAAAAGUGAAGACAGCUUACUGGGUUGCAACUGACACUGAGGAACGAAAGCUAGGGGAGCAAACA